CCUUAUAAAACGUCUUCGUUUUGGGCGGGCAGUCUGCAAAUUUGGCUCGGCUCGCACUUCACGGGAGGUGCGAGGGAGAUGUCUCGACUUGCUCAGAGUCUCCCUCCUUCCUCGCGGAGGAGAGAUGUCAAGACCUGUCAGAAGACUCAGCGAAGUUUGCAUGAGCCCUAAAGUGAAGCGGGUAGGAGGGGACUGAGCUGCGUCAACCCGGGCUCUGAGUCUUGCCUUUUUUUUUUUUUUUUUUUUUUUUAUCCGAGGCUACUUCCCACUCCCCUUGCGCAUCAGACAGACGAACCAGGCUGUGUGCUAACGUUUGGUUUCAGUUCCUUAGUCCCGCCGUGACUCACGGCCACGUUAGCGAGUUAACCUUUCCCGAGCUCCUGGCUGUAGCGCAGAAUCUGCAGCGUGAAGUCCCCCGCCACCCGACCUGGCGGGACGUGGGCGGCAGCCACCGCCUUGGGUGAGGUAGGUGGUGCCCACCCCUGCCCCUGGCCCCACUAUUUUAGCGGAGAGAACGGUUUAACCUUGACUAUCAGAGAGCCUGGAGAUAACUAUGCUUAUGUAAUUCUCCAGAAAAACCUCUCAAAGGCAUAUUCACCUAACGCAGCUGAAGAGAACCCCCACAACAUUUAUUUACCCAGCGUUUAAUGUCUGGCAAACGUUUUCCAUGUCUCAUAUAGUCCACAUAAUAAUUAUUAUAUCUAUUUUAAAGAUGAAGAAACAGGUCCUAGAAGAUACUGGGUAACUUGCUUGUGAUUUCACAGCCAGUUGGGUGGCCAAGGUAGGAUCCCAACCCAGGUGUGUUUAGCUGCAGAACCUGGUUUGUAACUACUAAGCCAUACUACCUUCUCACAAGACAGUUCCCAGAUUUUACUUUCUUAGGUUCAGUCUUCAGGUAGUGUGAUCAGACUGUCUCUUAAACCCGAGCAGGAGGGAUCUCUACCAUGUGGUUCUUCUCUUGUAAUGCCCCCCUCCCAUGGGGUCAAGGAACCUGAACCCUCUUCUAGACCAUGCUGCAGGGAGUCACAGUUCUAGAAUCCUCUGUCCAAAGAGUACCAAACCCUCCUCCAGGACUUGGUUGGACCUUUGAACUCAGUCUUGGGUCCAGGAAUGGCUCUUUGUUGGAGUGUGGGCAGUGCUUGGACUUGUGGGCUGAGGUGUGCACUCCCAGGCACUUUGGGCCCCUACUAGGCGCCAGAAGAGGGCUCAGUGGAGUCAGCUUUCCCUUCCCUGCCCCUUUCCAGCCUCCUCCUUAGAAGAGUCCAGGAAUUCAUGAUUCACACCUCGCCAUCCAGGUUCUUGUAAAGAGGUAUUUGUCAGGGUGGGAGGAUAGAUCGAUCAUACUUUGUUAACAGUUCGUUAUCUUGAUUUAUAACUUAAAUACUUAGAUUACUGCCAUGUGGGCCUCUCUUUGUCCUCUUGCCCACAAAUACUGGGAGUGGUUCUCAGUAUGACAUGGUACAAAAUACUUUGUCCUUUACAGGUCUGGUGUCUAAUCUCAAGAACCGGAUAUCAAUUAUUAUCAGCAGGUCCCUUGAGCUCUCCUCACUUUAGUUUCCUGGUCUAUAAAAUGGUGAUAAUAGAAUUUGCCCUACCCACCUAGCUACACGGGGAACCUUGGAGAGAGUCUAGUGACCAAACCCCUCAUUUUGCAUCAGAGAGCACUGAGCAGAAUUGGAACCCUGGUGUCCUAGCAGCACUUUACAUGGUGCCAGCUUGUCCUUGGGGAUAAUAAUUAGCAGAUAGUGGAUGAAAACCUGCUUUUAAAGCUGCAGUGCCCCAUAAAUGCAGGGCAAUUACUACCCUGACCCAGCCCCAUCUAGAAGAUACCACCCUCAGGACGUCAGGUAGUCAUGUGGGUGGGUAUUAUUGAACCUUGGUACGAGUACCAGAAAGAUGCCACAGUUUGAAUACUUUCUAUUAGGGAUUCUUCAGUAGUAACUUUUACUACGUUCGAUGGUCUCCCACAGAAAGAUUUGCACGAGGGCUUUGGGAUUGAAAAUGAAGUAAGGAAAUUGCUGAUGCACAAAUUUUUAAGGUUGGUCACUUCCUCCUGUGAAAUCUGUUAGGUGUCUUUGCCUCACUUAUGGCAUGAAUCAUUAUCCUGUACCAUAAUUAUUUACAUGUCUGUGUCUUGUCACCCAGCACCAUGUGAAUGCCUUGAGGGCAGAGUCCAUAUCUGGUUUAUCUUUGCAGCCACCUCUGUCCCUCAUAACACCUAGUACGGUGCCUACACGGGAGGCCUUCCGUCAGUAUUUAUUGGUGAAUGUAUGAAUCAAAUUUAUUCCUUUUCCAAAUUCCGCUUGUAGUAGAAGAUUAUAUUAAUCCCUGGUGAGAGAGAACACUUCCUGGAUCCUUAGAAAAAUGUAUACUAAUGUUUCGGUCUCCCUGAGUCAUAAAAAUGACUUUUAAGAUGAGCAGAGUCUACUCUUAUUUGGGUGAAAGCACAAAAUCAGUGCGGUCUUGAAGAAAGAUACCAAAGUGUCCAAUGGAUAAACCCUUUCUUUGAAGACGACUUAAUUUUGCACGUAACACAAAAAGGCAUUUUUUAGAAAACAGUCUAAUGUAAAAGUUACCGAGUAAGGACUGCUUAACCCUUGACAAUGUAUGUUGCAUAAACAAGGGUACCAUCCCUUGGCCUUUGCUCACACAGUGGGACUGCUGAGCUUCUGUGAUGCUGAGGUUGGGCCUUCAAACAGCUGGAUGGUUUCUUAGAAUAUGAAUCUUCUAAGUCCUUAAGAACAUAAGUACCUACCUGUCCUCUACAUUUAUAGAAAGUAGAGGUUUAUUUCAUCAUGUUUGUAGUUUUAGCCGAUGCCACCUCUAGGUAAACAUUUUAACUAGUGUUUCCUUUGAGCUUUUUUAAGGUUUCAUUUUUUAUGGUCCCAUUUCGCUCUGGUUUUCAUUUGAAAGGAGGGCAUCAGUAAAGAUGGAGAGAUGGAAAUCCAAGCAAUAGGAUGUCCGCUGAAUGGAAGUUUUGAGGAGAGGACAGAGGAGGAGUCUGAGGACUUGAGUAGGAAUGCCGAAGACACAUCCUUUCUCUCCCAACAGUCAAGAAAAGCCAAGAGACCUGAACUGGAGCUGAGAGGGUGAGACGUUGAGAAAGUUCAAGCAACAAGCAAACAUCUCUCCAUAAACAGAAAUGGCAAGGCAUCUGCUGAAAGAAGGGAGGAAGGAUCUUGAUAACUCUUCUGGUCAUAUUCUAUUAAAAUUCCAGAGGGCUUUGUAUCGACACAUACAAAUAAAUAAUAACAAAAUUAACUGUGUAUCUCCCAUAUGCCAACCUUUGUGAAAAUACACAAACCACUGACUUAUGUGAUGAAAAGUUUCAUUACUAAUGGGAAAGUAAAUGAACUCAAUAAAACUCUCUUACUUA